UGUAAUGUUGUUUUCUAUGGGACCAGACAGGAAGAGAUGGAGGUGGUAAUGUUGUUUUCUAUGGGACCAGACAGGAAGAGAUGGUAAUGUUGUUUUCUAUGGGACCAGACAGGAAGAGAGAUGGUAAUGUUGUUUUCUAUGGGACCAGACAGGAAGAGAUGGUAAUGUUGUUUUCUAUGGGACCAGACAGGAAGAGAUGGUAAUGUUGUUUUCUAUGGUACCAGACAGGAAGAGAUGGUAAUGUUGUUUUCUUCUGUGAUGAAAUGUAAAGUGCCUUCGGAAAGUAUACAGACCCCUUGACUUUUUCCACAUUUUGUUACGUAACAACCUUAUUCUAAAAUUGAUUUUAAAAAAUUGUUUCCUCAAUCACAAUACCUCAUAAUGACAAAGAAAAAACGGGUUUUUAGACAUUUUUGCUAAUUUAUUCAAAAUAAACUGAAAUAUCAUACUUACACAAGUAUUCAGACCCUUUACUCAGCACUUUGUUGAAGCACCUUUAGCAGCGAUUACAGCCUCCAGUCUUCAUCGGUAUGAAGGUAACUUGGCACACCUGUAUUUGGGGAGUUUCUCCCAUUCUUCUCUGCAGAUCCAAGCUAUGUCAGGAUCGAUGGGGAGCGUCGCUGCACAGCUAUUUUCAGGUCUCCAGAGAUGUUCGAUCGGGUUGGUGCCAGAUUUCCUCCAGACGUGACACUUGGCAUUCUGGCUAAAGAGUUCAAUCUUGGUUUCAUCAGACCAGAGAAUCUUGUUUCUCAUGGUCAGAGUCCUUUCGGUGCAUUUUGGUAAACUCUAAUGUAAAUAUAAAUAAGGUAUUUCUGUUUUGUAUUUGUUUUUACAUUUGCCCAAAAUAAAAAUAAAAACAGUUUUUGCUUUGUCAUUAUGGGGUAUUGUGUGUAGAUUGCUGAGGAUUUUUAUUUAUUUAAUCAAUUUUUGAAUAAGGCUAUAACAUAACAAAAUGUGGAAAAAGUCCAGGUGUCUGAAUACAUUCCAAAGGCACUGUGUACUUCCUAAAUGUCACCCUGUUCCCUUUAUAGUACACUACUUUUGACCAGGGUAGUGCACUAUAAAAGGACUAGGGUGCCAUUUGGGAUAGACGAUAUACUGUAAUAUUUGUUGAAGGAAUGAUAUGAUUGGACUUUGUAAAAAUAAUUUCUUUUUGUAUCUGCUUCUUUUGUAGAAUCAACAUGUCUAAUAUAUUUGUCAAAAGAUCAGUUUUAUGUUCUGUGGUGUGUUUAUUUUAGAUUUUAGUGUGGC
ensembl:lncRNA